rnacentral:tRNA from 2 species
GCGGAUGUGGCGGAAUUGGCAGACGCGCAUGGUUCAGGUCCAUGUUCUCGCAAGGGAGUGGAGGUUCAAGUCCUCUCAUCCGCACCA